UAUUGAACCGGCCAGAUCCCUUAAUGGGUUCCAGAGUAAUGGCCCCUGAAAGGGCCAAAAUUAGCUAUUUUGACCUUGUCUGCACAAUAGCAACUUCAUUUAUGAUUUGAUUUUAACCAAACUUGUAAGUAGACCAAUCCGUUUCCGGAUUAUAACUAAAGAACGCUGGGGCCUAGGAUCAUGAAAGUUGAUAGGAAGGUUGGUCAUCACCUGCAGAUGACCCCUAUUGAUUUUGAGAUCUGUAUGUCAGAGGUCAAGGUCACAAUGACCCUGAACAAUUAAAGGGUUUCCGGAUGAUAACUCAAGAACGCUUCGGCCUAGAUUCAUGAAAGUUGAUAGGGAGGUUGGUCAUGACCAGCAGAUGACCCCUAUUGAUUUUGAGGUCAGCAUGUCAAAGUUCAAGGUCACAGUGACCCGGAACAGUUAAACGGUUUCCAGAUGAUAACUCAAGAUUGCAUGAAAGUUGAUAAGGAGGUUGGUCAUGACCAGCAGAUGACCCCUGUUGAUUUUGAGGUCAGUAGGUCACAGUGACCAGGAACAGUAAAAUGGUUUCCGGGCGAUAACUCAAGAACUCUUGGGCCAGGGAUCAGGAAAAUUGAUAGGAGAUUUAUCAUGACCAGCAGAUGGCCCCUAUUAAUUUUGAGGUCAUUUGGUUAAAGUUCAAGGUCAGAUUGGCCAGGAACAGUUAAACGGUUUCUGGAAGAUAACUUGAGGUCAAUAGGACAAAGGUCAAUGUCACAUUUAACCAGAACAGUAGAAUUUUUGUUUACAGUGAGCAAAUAAUUUCUGUUCCUUGUACAAUUACUGAAUGCAUCAAGGGGGGCAUUUCGUGUUUGAUGAGCUCUUGUUUAACCUUUAGCCUGCUGUUACCAGUGUCGGCAAGUGAUUCUGCCUUUGUGACCAGUGCAUAUAGUCUGUUGGUCAAGGAAUACCGAUCAGUUAAGUCAAUAUUGACUGUAACAUAUUUUGUAGACUGUGUGAACAAUAAACCUUUACCCUGCUAAAUUUCUAAAAUGGACUGGUCUGUCAUUCAAUCUGGGCAGUAACAUUUAUAAUUCAAAGGGGUGUUCACUGAAAAUUUAUUGAUAGCAUAGCGAACAGUGCAGACCAAGAUCAGCCUGCACAUCCGUGAGUUAGGGCCACGUGUUUGGCACAUGUUCUCUGUGACAUUAUUUUUAUUCAACCUCUGUUUCAUAUGCGGAAUUGCUAGUUGCAGAGAACAAGUUUGUACUGAUACAGAAUCCAGGAACACUCACAGGAAAGGUUAAAUUUCUGCUGGCCGGAACACAACUGAAAUAUUGUUGAAAAAUAGCAUUAAACCUAAAACAAAAAACAAACAAAUCUUUUGCAGUGCAAUGUGAGAAGUGACAGUAAUGCAGAAUACCUACAGACCUUGAAGAGAAAUGAAGAGAUACAGCGCUAAAUUGUUCAACAUGGUGUGUGUGGGAAACAUAGUGGACAGAAAGCAUGUGACAAAAAAUGAAAAGAAAAGGUGGUGUUGAAUGGUAUGCAGUGAGUGCAAGUCAUCUGAAGUCAGGGACCAUCGAAUUGCAGCAUUCCAGAAAGCAGUCUACAGAAUAAAUACCCUACUUUCGUUUUCAAGAAAACAUGCAAAUAUAAAGUGUGAAGUAACAGUAGCACAGAAUGGCUGGAGACCAUUAACUUAAGAACUGAAGAGAUACAGGUCAUUGUUCUAUAUGGUGAUUGAUGGAACUAUGGUGCAGAUUUGAAUCGAUAAGGUGUGAAGUUACAGAAAAGCAGAAUAGCUACAGACCAUGAAAUUUAGAAAUUGAAGAGAUGCAUGUCUCAGUUCAGCAUGGUGUAUAUGGGAAACAUUGUGGGUCGCAGACAUGAAAUGAUUUGUGUGAAGUAACAGUAAAGCAGAAUGGCUACAGACAGUUAGUUCAGAAUUGAAGAAGAGAUGCAGGUCUUUGUUCUAUCUGGUGUAUGAGGGAACCAUGGUGGAAAUUUGGAUUUCAUGGCAGUCAUAGAACUAGCUAAGAAGUAGCCAGAUAAUUUUUGUUAAGAAUAAUUUACCACUUAAAAACAGCAUUUAGAGUUACAUAAGAGCUGAACAGAUACCAAUACUUUAAAAAGCAGCAACAAAUGUCCAAUCUUCUAUAAAACAGAUUUUACAAUUGAAGGGAGCUAACUUAAUUAAAAAAAUACAUACUGAAAUGCCCUUGCUUUCAUAGAAAUUUUCACUUACAGAAUCUUAUCAGGUUUCUAGUUUUGGAUUGAGUAUGACUACACUGGUAUUUUAAGAAUUGAUGGAUGCUUCCAUAAUUACAGUAAAUGCAGCAUUAUAUUUUCAUACCAAUUAACCACUACCAUACCGUAUAAUAUUAUUUCUACAGGCCUGUAGGAAAGUGAUGUGUGUACCAGUCGUCAGACUUUUACCUGUCUGUCCAGUCAACAAAUUCGCAAUAGAUGCGAGAUUCUCAAAUAAUUUGGCAGAGUUUUCACAGUUACUAAGACAGAUUGCAAAAGAUUUUUGGACUAUAUUCCUGUGCGGAUAGAUUAAAAAACUACUCCAGACUGGUAGACAUGACAGAUGUUUAUUGGAAAUAUGAACAUGGACUUAAAACUUUGAUGUGUAGCAAAAAAAUUCAUCGUUGAUGAUAGUGAUUUUCUAAGCUAUAUUGACUGGAACAGGGUUGUUCUUUACAAAUACAGAGCUGUCAAUGCUGCAAUUUUGUUGUGAAAGUCACAAUCCAUGUCAGAAGGUGCUUGUUUUACUAUACAGCAAAGACAAAGAAAUUGUACUGGGCCGACACCUAUAUGGGAAAUAGUUACUUUUGAAUAUCUCAGCAACCAAAGGGUUUACAGCAGUGGAACUUCACACACUAGUAGCUGAUAACAAUAGAAACCAGUGGCUAAAAGGAUUUUAUCAAGGUGAUGAAUUCCAUGCGUUGGUAGAAACUUAGAAUGGUACCACCAGUCACCAACACUCCCUAGACCAGAGCAAACUAUUGAGUCGUGUGAACAGAAGCUGCUGUUUCCAGCGUAGCACUGUAUAGUAGUUGCUCUUAUUGCCGAUCCGGCUGUCGUGGUCAAAGCUCGGGUUUCUUUGGGAAGCCCCUAUCCACCUGGUCUUCAUUUACAGUUGAACUACAUCCAGGAUUGGUUGCAGCCUUAGAAGGAAGAAGGUAAGCAGUACCCAAAACCCUGAAAUGAGAGCGCUUGAACAAUGUGAAAUUUGUCGCAUAGAUGGGGAUUGACCGCCUUUGUGUAUAUAAGUCUACAACUUCUCAGAUUUGACUGAAGACAAUUGUUUGGUGUUGUGAAUAGAUGUGGUUUGGCCGCAGGCUUUCCACUCACACAGAAGAUACUGGCUGGAUCACGAGAAGGAGAAAUAUAUGAGGUAGGGCUCUGCAGUUUUCCAUAAACGCAACAAGAAGUUUACAUUUGUUGCACAGAUUUGUGUCUCACAUGUUUGGAGUUGAAGGAAUAGUUACAGGAAAAGGGUACAGAAUAUGUAAGAAUAUGGUAUGUCCCAGCUGAAA